UAUUGGUGUUACCAUCAAGGACGGUCACGGCCGUCCUUUCACCUGCUCUUUGGGUACCAGGCGCUGGGUGCACCCUUCCCUGGCGUUAGUCCCCACCAGGACAAUCAAGCCACCCUUUCGGCUCCUCUGCAGCGGCUGACAAGGCCCAGCCGGCCGCCCUCUCUGCCGCUCCACUGCGCGGUGCUGGUCGUGGGUUUUCUGUCCUUUCCCUGCUCUCUCUCUGGCCGCCCGGCUUCCUUCCUCCAGCACCACGCCGUGCUCCCGCCCCAGGGCCUUUGCCCCAGCCGCGUCAUCUGCCCGGGAUGCUCCUUCCCCGUACCUGGCUCACCAAGCGUCCUGUUCCUCUGCUUUUAGCUCAGCAGCCGCCUUCUCAACAAGGCCCCUGGGCCGUCUGCAGGCCCCGGUCCCCAGGACUCCCUCACCCGCUCUCCUCUUCCUCCUUUCCUCGGUACUGACCGCCCUCCAGCAGAGGCUAGGUGAUGUCCUCAUCUAUCCGUACCCCCUGUGCUUCUCGUCCGUGGCUGCAGUCUCCACGAGGCUGGGGCUCCUUGCUGGUUUGUUCACGAGGCUCCCCCGGCGCCUACACCGGGUCUGGCGCAGAGUAAACCCGAAGGAAACGUCUCUCUGCCGACGCAGUCACCCCGCUCACCCCUGCCGCUGUCCCUUGGGCUCCCACAAAGAUGCCCCGUUGGGAGGACACGUUGGUCGCGUGAAGUGAGGCUGGUUGCCCACUGACGGACUUUUGAGAGCAUUUCGGAGCCGCUGCGGCCCCAGUCCUGACCGUUCAUCCGUAGGCAGGGACAGACGACGUCCUUCGGGCUGCAGGGGUUUUCCUCCCGUCUCUCCAUUCACGGGCCCCGAGAUGCCUGCAGGGUCACUGUGAACUGGGACCGCGGGUGGACGGCCUGUGGCGUGGCCACUAGGCCCUCGGUGUCCCUGAGCCACCCUCCCCGGCCCGCGCUGCCCGUGCUCCUUGUGCUGGGGACGGAGUCGCUGGCCUCUCAGAGGCACUUCAGAUUGAAGGGACUGCCCAGCUUUCCCGAAGGCCCCUUCCGUGACAGCCCUAAGUGAAUGUCUUUCCUGGAACUCACUUUCAAAAUGUAUUUAUUUUAACGCUCAGGUCCUCUCGGAGUUUUGGUUUCCAUGUUCUCUCCUCGGCCGACCUUUCCUGUCUUCCCCGUAGCGCGUGGUACAGCAGCAUUGAUUCGGGGUAAAGUAUUUUGAUUUUAAGGUGCAGCCCAUCCAUAAACUUUUCUAUCAAUAA